AAGAAUGGGUUAUUUGUUAUUACGAAGCAAAGGUAAGAUGAGAUGGACCGUAAGAUCUGUCUACUUGAGUAAGGUGAGUAGACUAUCUUUACUAAUCCGUAAUAGGUCCUUUUGUAAUGCCCAUGCCUCGAAAAUUAGGUUAGUAGAAUCAGGUAUUUAAACUAGGGGUUGAGUCAAGUAUCAAAAAGUGGGUAAUUAAAGAAUUAAAGUUACAUAUUU
rnacentral:lncRNA from 1 species